rnacentral:lncRNA from 1 species
CUUUCCUGUAGUUUCCUGAUAAAAGGUCCUUUGGAAACUUUGAUUCUCUUCUCACCAAGUUGAACGGAGAUGUGUUCCCAUAGUAAGAGUGAGGCCCCUGCAUUUGCUGCCCUCGGUUUUCCCAACUAACACCAUGGCCUCCCCCCUGUACCCCAUUCAUACGCCUCAGAAGCUGACAAUGACUGUUGGGCUUUUCCAACGAAUACCAGAACACCAUUUCCUGCAGCCUGAAAAGAAGACAGUAUAAUUAUUUGGCAGCAAGAGAAUCCAGGUGCCCUUCCAUGAGAAGCCCAAGCCAUGUGGAGAAGCCACGUCUAGGGACUCCAGUUAACACUCUCAGCUGAGUCCCCAGCUGACAGUCAGCAUCAACUGCCAGCCACCUCUGUCUAAAAGUGGGCUAUCUUGGGCAUCCAGCCCAGUCAAGCCUUCAGAUGAGUCCAGUCCCAGCCACUAUCUCACACAACCACACGAGAGACAUCAAGAACUCCCAGUGGAGUCCAGUCAGCCCAUGGAACUGUAAGAGACAGGAUCUCGCUGCGUUGCUCAGACUGGUCUCGAACUCCUGGGCUUAAGGGAUUCUCCUGCCUCAAUCACAGCCUCCCAAGUAGCUGAGAUUACAAGUGCUCACCACCGUGCCAGCGAGUUCAGUUUUUGAGGGUGGAGCCAAGACUCUGAGGAGAGGGCUGAACUGUGAACCUAGAAGUACCAUCUCCCCCUGCACACACCUUUGGUCAAGUUGACCCCAAGAAGAAGGACAAGUCCUCUGCACGGCGAUGAGGCCAUACACACAGUCUGUGGCCCGGCUUUGGGAGACUGAUGGGACAAAGGAUGUUUUGCACGAUCCUUGGUCUCUGAGCAAAUAUAUACAUGGGUUAACA